rnacentral:rRNA from 1 species
AAACAGGAUUAGAUACCCUGGUUAGUCAACGCCUUAAACGAUGGAUACUAGGUGUCGGGGGGCCUUACCCCUUCGGUGCCGCAGUUAACGCGGUAAAGUAUCCCGCCUGGGGAGUACGGUCGCAAAGCUGAAACUCAAAGGAAUUGACGGGGGCCCGCACAAGCGGUGGAGUAUGUGGUUUAAUUCGAUGCAACGCGAAGAACCUUACCUGGACUUGACAUCCUAGGAACCCUCUAGAAAUAGAGGGGUGCCCUUCGGGGAAUCUAGUGACAGGUGCUGCAUGGCUGUCGUUCAGCUCGUGCCGUGAGGUGUUGGGUUAAGUCCCGCAACGAGCGCAACCCCUAUCGUCAGUUGCCAUCACAUAAUGGUGGGCACUCUGGUGAGACUGCCCGGGUUAACCGGGAGGAAGGUGGGGACGACGUCAAGUCAUCAUGGCCCUUACGUCCAGGGCUACACACGUACUUCAAUGGUGGAUACAAAGGGUAGCGAAGCCGCGAGGUGGAGCCAAUCCCAGAAAGUCCAUCCCAGUCCGAAUCGCAGUCUGCAACUCGACUGUGUGAAGUUGGAAUCGCUAGUAAUCCCGGAUCAGCAUGCCGGGGUGAUACGUUCCCGGGCCUUGUACACACCGCCCGUCACACCACGAAGCUGGUUCUACCCGAAGUCGACGGACUACCUUAGGGAG